rnacentral:lncRNA from 1 species
UCCAGUUCCUUAUUUAAUACAGCAUAGUAUUUUCACAGUUCUCUGCAUUAUUUAAACCAUCUCUAGAUUAUUUAUAAUGCCCCGUACAAUGUAAAUGCUGUGUAAACUGUUGCUAUACUGUAUUAUUUAGGGAAUAAUGACAAGAAAAAGUCUGUACAUGUUCUGCACAGCUGAAAUUUUUUUUCCCAAAUAUUUUCAACAUGAGGUUGGUUGAAUCUGAGGAUGCAGAACAUGCUUUCAGAGGAGUAAUGGCUGAAACUUCACCUCCAUGCACCCUCUGAAUUAGAAGUUAUCAGAGGAUUCACACUGCUAAAAGGGGAAAACAAGUCUGUGUUAUAGUUUAAAUCUGGAAUGUCUCCAAAGGGUCCCCAAGUUGAAGGCUUGGUCCCCAGGGCUGUUGAGAAGUGGUAGAGUCUUUAGGAAGUGGAACCUAGCAAAAGGAAGUUAGGUCAUUGGGGGGUGUGAUCUUAGAGAGGAUACUGGGACCCCCAGCUCCUUCUUUCUCUCUUUUCUUGCAGCCACCAUGAGUUCAGCUGCUUUCUCAGCCAUGCAUUUCCCCACAUGAUAUACUGUGCCAUUUUAGCCCAAAGGCAAGGGGGCCAAAGCAGCUAGAAACUGAAAUCAUGAGCCAAAAUAAACCUGAUCCCCUUAUAAGUUGAUUAGCUCAGGUAUUUUUGGAAAGAUGGCUAGCACAUCAAGAAGGAAUGGGAUCCAGGAAACAGGGAAGGCAACCCCAGAGAAGUGAGAGGAGUACCCAGGAUGGUGGAAAAGGGAAUUUCAGGACAGCAGAUGUGCUCCAAGGA